rnacentral:lncRNA from 10 species
CUGGCCUCGAACUCCUGGCCUCAAGUAAUCUUCAGCCUCCCAAAGGGCUGGAAUUACAGGCAAGAGCCACCGCGCCCAGCCUACAUCUCUGUAUUUUAAAGUCUAUGCCAUAUGGUAUUACUUGUCUUUUUUUUGGAGAGCGUCUUGCUCUGUCACCCAGGCUGGAGUGCAGUGGCGCUACCUCGGCUCACUGAAACCUCUGCCUCACAGGUUCAAGCAAUUCUUCUGCCUUCGCCUCCCAAGUAGCUGGGAUUAUAGGCUUGGGCUACCACGCCCAGCUAAUUUUUUUGGUAUUUUUAGUAGAGACGGGGUUUCACUUUGUUGGCCAGGCUGGUCUUGAACCCCUGGCCUCAAAUAAUCUGCCCGCCUCGGCCUUCCAAAGUGUUGGGAUUUACAGGAGUGAGCCACCACACCUGGCCUACUUGUGUCUUAAGUUUUGAUGGUAACUGAUAUUUUUAAAAAACUCACAACUUGAAAGUGAUGCUUGAAAGGAUAAGAAAGUCUGAAUUAGAGGCAGCUGACUUUGUUUUGAGAGGCGAUUUUUAGCUUUAAUGGGAAAAUACUGGAAACUAAACACACUUUUGACCAAUUUAUAUAACCUUGCUACAUAUAAAUUUAUAUGAGUAAAUGAUUCAGCAUAACCUUUUUUUACAAGUAAGACUUUUAUGGGACAUUUGAAGCUGAUUUUAAAUGUCAGAUUAUUUAAUCACAUCUGAAUUCAAAUUCUAAACUAAAUUGUUUCUAAUAUGUAAGAUCAUUUCUUUAUAAUCAUAAUACUUGUCCUCCCCUCCUUUUUGUUUCCCUCCUGCUUUUUAGUUUUUAACUAGUAAUGAGAAGAGGAGGUAAUGUUGUUACCAAAGAGCAAAGUCUAGUUCUUUGGACUUAAUUUGCAUGACAAGUUUUUGCUCACUGUAAUUAGAAUUUAGUUAAAUAAAUGUCAUUUUCCUUAAUGUUAUCUAUGUUUAGCUCAUGGAAAAAAAAAUGUUCUUGAGCACUGGGCCCCUGUGAAAAUAUACAAGUUGAGUAUCCCUAAUCUGAAAAUCUGAAAUCCAACAUGUUCCAAAAUCCAAAACCUUUUCGGUGCCAACAUGAUGCACAAAGAAAAUGCUUAGUGGAGUUUUGUGGAAUUUGUACUCUUGUAUUAGGGAUGGUGAACUGGUAAGUAUGAUGCAAAUAUUCUGAAAUCUGAACAAAUCCAAAAUCCUGAACACUUCUGGUCCCAAGUAUUUUAGAUAAGAGAUACUCUAUGUGAGAACAAGACAGCAGGUGGUUAAAGGAAUUUCCACACUUAGGUUGCUUUCAAGAGAGACAAAAGUAUUAACAGGAUCUUAAUCUGCCUCAGAUUUACUGGGGAGCAAAUGCAUUCAUAUUUGAGGAUUUCUAAAAUGUUUAAUUUGCCUCUUAAAAAUGUUUUUAGUUAGCACCAAAAAAGAC